rnacentral:lncRNA from 10 species
AAUGUCCUUGUCCUAAUGGACUUUAGAGCCUAGCUUAAGAGUCAGAUGUUACCCAUAUUCCAUGAAGAAAAGGCUACAAAGUUAAGAGAAAAAGAAAACAAAAACAAAAACCAAGGAGCUUUGUAAUUUGGAGGUCAGGGAAGGACUCCUGUAGAAAUGACUUUCUGCUGCAAUUCUGAAGGGACUGGUGGAAAGAGAAGUCAUAGAAUUGGCAUCAAUGUCAUCCAUGAAGUGACAGAGCCGGGGCACAGGGCUAAUCACAAGGAGCCAGGAUACCCUAAUUACUACAGUGACUGGCAAGAUGCUGGCAAGUCCAAGAUCAAGGCACCGGUGUGUUCAAUGUCUGAUGUGUCUGAUGAGGGAUCAAUCUCUGCUUCCUUGAAUGCUACGUCCUCCUGAGGGGAUGAACACUGUCUCCACAUGGCAGAAAGAAUGAAGGGGCAAAAAGAACUAGCUAGUUCCCUGCAGCCCUUUCAUAGUGACGCUAAUCAAUUCAUGAGGGUGGAGCCCUCAUGACCUAAUCACCUCCAAAAGGCCCCACUUCUUAAUACUAUCACAUUGGUGAUAAUGUUUCAACAUGUGAGUUUUGGAGUGACAUUUUGUAUAUUCACACCAUACCAGGAGUCCUAUGCAUAGUGGAGUUGCUUCAAUGAGAACUUACAUUAAAGGAUAGUGAUGCUUCACAACAAUAAACUGCAAAGGAGUAAGAGAAACAAUAUUUAGUUCUUGAUAUAUAUGUUUGUCUUUUUUCCAAGAUCAGGUUAUUGAUUAAUUUUUCAAGC